rnacentral:rRNA from 1 species
GUGUCAGCCGCCGCGGUAAGACAGAGGGUGCAAACGUUGUUCGGAAUUACUGGGCGUAAAGCGUGUGUAGGUGGCCGCGCAAGUCGGAUGUGAAAGCCCUGGGCUCAACUCAGGAAGUGCACCCGAUACUGCGUGGCUCGAGUACCGGAGAGGUUGGUAGAAUUCUCGGUGUAGAGGUGAAAUUCGUAGAUAUCGAGAGGAAUACCUGUGGCGAAGGCGGCCAACUGGACGAGUACUGACACUGAGACACGAAAGCGUGGGGAGCAAACAGGAUUAGAAACCCUUGUAGUCC